GCUAAAAGAAUAUUUGGUUACAAAGCAAAAGACUGCCUGAAUGGAUUCUCUGUUGUUGACUCCAUCUUUCAAAGAGAAAAGCUUCUUCACUUUUACGCUCCAGAUACUCGUCAACAUCUUGCUGUGGCCUUCUUGUUGUUCCAUCUGAUGAAAAUUGACUAUAAUAACUUCCAAUUUCUCCAAAUCUAUUCCCCUCAAUAUUUGAGGAUUGGCCAUCGAGAAGUCCUGGGCUCCAACUCCCACGGCUACUAAUGG
rnacentral:misc_RNA from 1 species